GUGUCAGCAGCCGCGGUAAUACGUAGGGGGCAAGCGUUGUCCGGAAUCAUUGGGCGUAAAGCGCGUGUAGGCGGCUCAGUAAGUCCGCUCUGAAAGCCCGGGGCUCAACCCCGGGAGGCGGGUGGAUACUGUUGAGCUUGAGUCCGGAAGAGGCGAGUGGAAUUCCCGGUGUAGCGGUGAAAUGCGCAGACAUCGGGAGGAACACCAAUGGCGAAGGCAGCUCGCUGGGACGUGACUGACGCUGAGACGCGAAAGCGUGGGGAGCAAACAGGAUUAGAUACCCCCGUAGUCC
rnacentral:rRNA from 1 species